rnacentral:rRNA from 1 species
GACGAACGCUGGCGGCGUGGAUUAGGCAUGCAAGUCGAACGGUAUCAUCCUUUCGGGGGUGAGAGAGUGGCGAACUGGUGAGUAACACGUAGGUUAUCUACCCUCAAGACGGGGACAACCCAGGGAAACUUGGGCUAAUACCGGAUGUGAGCAACUUUUAGUUGUUUGAAAGGUGGCGUAAGCUGUCGCUUGGGGAUGAGCCUGCGUCCUAUUAGUUAGUUGGUGAGGUAACGGCUCACCUAGGCAAUGAUAGGUAGGCGGCCUUAACGGGUGGUCGCCCACACUGGGAUUGAGAUACGGCCCAGACUCCUACGGGAGGCAGCAGUCGAGAAUAGUCUACAAUGGUCGGAAGACUGAUAGUGCGACGCCGCGUGAACGAUGAAUCCCUUCGGGGUGUAAAGUUCUUUUAUAUGUGAGCAGUGCUUCUUAUAUUAACAGUAUGGGGAGAGAGAUAUUAGCAUAUGAAUAAGCAACGGCUAACUCCGUGCCAGCAGCCGCGUAAUACG